rnacentral:pre_miRNA from 1 species
CACCUACUCCCUCCGUCCGGAAAUACUUGUCAUCAAAAUGGACAAAAAAGGAUGUAUCUAGAACUAAAAUACAUCUAGAUACAUCCCCUUUUAUUCAUUUUGAUGACAAGUAUUUUCGGACGGAGGGAGUACAUC